CACGUAGGGCGCAAGCGUUGUCCGGAAUUAUUGGGCGUAAAGAGCUCGUAGGCGGUCUGUUGCGUCUGCUGUGAAAACUCGGGGCUUAACCCCGAGCCUGCAGUGGAUACGGGCAGACUAGAGGUAGGUAGGGGAGAAUGGAAUUCCCGGUGUAGCGGUGAAAUGCGCAGAUAUCAGGAGGAACACCGGUGGCGAAGGCGGCGAUCUGGGUAGAUACUGACGCUGAGGUGCGAAAGCGUGGGGAGCAAACAGG
rnacentral:rRNA from 1 species